AAGAAGUGCUGCUUCUCUUUCAGUUUUUGUACUAAUAGUGUAAAACUUGUAUUUUAUGUAGAACCAGUCAACAGCAACAAAAAAGCUUAAUUAAAGGGUAGUAACUAUUGUGUGCCUUGCUGGUUCAAUGCCCAUUUACAGUAUCCAUAACUGAAAUAAUCGUGGAAACUAUUUACUGAUCCUUUCCAUUUUAACAAGGUAGGAAGAAACACGGCAAAAAAAAGUAAAGAAAAAAGGCAGCUUACCAUCAUGUCUAUCAGCCUGACCACAGCAUUUCCUGCAGAGCUGGCACUGAGACCGUCACAAGAAGCAGUAUCAGACUAAGAACGUGAUGUCCUCACAGAAUGAAAGCAGUGUUUUUGAAAUAUGCAUCCUUCCAACACUUCCCCAGCAAACCAAAAUUCCUGACAAAAUGGCCAGUGGUAGUUCUGUGUAGGUGUGUGGAUGCACAUGUCAUGUAUGGAUUUCACUUAGGGUGCAGAUGCAGAAGAUGGAAGGACAGCAGUAAUAAGACUUUCCAUCUCUUCCCUUAUUUAUUUAUCAGUGCCACACGGUACCAUCCUGUGUAGUAUUAGUUGAAUAUAAAGGUUUAUUUGUUAACAGGCUUUUCUGGUUGGGUCUGUGAUAGAUAAAGAUAGAAAGUGAAAUUUGAGUAUAUGGAUAUAGAUAGUUUUAAAAUUUUCUAAUGUUAUUCAUUCAAAACUAUAGAUCUACCUGUGUGGCUGGACCUACUAUGUUCAGCUACAGCACCCUGGUCUAGAAGUCCACCUUCCUGGCCAUGCACCCUGCCAGCUGGGGAUCUAGAAACAGCCAGGGAAGACUGUGGUACUGAUCAUGAUGCACUUAGGUUCCACCUUCAGCUCUUCUGCCUGAAAUGUGUCCUCAGGCCUUGCCUCAAGGCCUGCAGCACCCCAUGUCUUCCUGCAUUUUUUCCAUAAGCCAACUGUCCUGCUAUGCAUGUUUCUACUCCUGUGCUAACUUGGUGUCACUGGCCCCUUAUC
rnacentral:lncRNA from 1 species